rnacentral:rRNA from 1 species
GACAGAGGAUGCAAGCGUUAUCCGGAAUCACUGGGCGUAAAGCGCACGUAGGCGGCUUUUUAAGUCAGGGGUGAAAUCCUGGAGCUCAACUCCAGAACUGCCUUUGAUACUGGGAAGCUUGAGUCCGGGAGAGGUGAGUGGAACUCCGAGUGUAGAGGUGAAAUUCGUAGAUAUUCGGAAGAACACCAGUGGCGAAGGCGGCUCACUGGCCCGGUACUGACGCUGAGGUGCGAAAGCGUGGGGAGCAAACAGG